rnacentral:tRNA from 1 species
AUGGCUGAGCGGUAAAGCGCUUGGCUUCUGAACCGGGGUUCCGGGUUCGAAUCCUGGU